AGCGUAGACGGAUGGACAAGUCUGAUGUGAAAGGCUGGGGCUCAACCCCGGGACUGCAUUGGAAACUGCCCGUCUUGAGUGCCGGAGAGGUAAGCGGAAUUCCUAGUGUAGCGGUGAAAUGCGUAGAUAUUAGGAGGAACACCAGUGGCGAAGGUGGCUUACUGGACGGUAACUGACGUUGAGGCUCGAAAGCGUGGGGAGCAAACA
rnacentral:rRNA from 1 species